rnacentral:rRNA from 1 species
GUGCCAGCAGCCGCGGUAAGACGAACCGUGCGAACGUUGUUCGGAUUCACUGGGCUUAAAGGGCGCGUAGGCGGGCAUUCAAGUCAGGGGUGAAAGCCCCCGGCCCAACCGGGGAAGUGCCUCUGAGACUGAGUGUCUCGAGGGGGGUAGGGGCAGUUGGAACUCUCGGUGGAGCGGUGAAAUGCGUAGAUAUCGGGAGGAACGCCGGUGGCGAAAGCGGGCUGCUGGACCCCUUCUGACGCUGAGGCGCGAAAGCCAGGGGAGCGAACGGGAUUAGAUACCCGCGUAGUCC